rnacentral:rRNA from 1 species
GACGAACGCUGGCGGCGUGCUUAACACAUGCAAGUCGAGCGGUAAGGCCCUUUCGGGGGUACACGAGCGGCGAACGGUGAGUAACACGUGGGUGACCUGCCCUUAGCUCUGGGAUAAGCCUGGGAAACUGGGUCUAAUACCGGAUAUGACUCCAUGACGCAUGUUGUGGGGUGGAAAGCCUUGUGCGGCUAGGGAUGGGCCCGCGGCCUAUCAGCUUGUUGGUGGGGUGAUGGCCUACCAAGGCGACGACGGGUAGCCGGCCUGAGAGGGCGACCGGCCACACUGGGACUGAGACACGGCCCAGACUCCUACGGGAGGCAGCAGUGGGGAAUCUUGCGCAAUGGGCGAAAGCCUGACGCAGCGACGCCGCGUGAGGGAUGACGGCCU